UACGUAGGUGACAAGCGUUAUCCGGAAUUACUGGGCGUAAAGAGCUCGUAGGCGGUCUGUCGCGUCGGCUGUGAAAACUCGGGGCUCAACCCCGAGCCUGCAGUCGAUACGGGCAGACUAGAGUGCUGUAGGGGAGACUGGAAUUCCUGGUGUAGCGGUGAAAUGCGCAGAUAUCAGGAGGAACACCGGUGGCGAAGGCGGGUCUCUGGGCAGUAACUGACGCUGAGGAGCGAAAGCGUGGGGAGCGAACAGG
rnacentral:rRNA from 1 species